AGGUCUUCCGUGCGCCCAGCAAAUCUCUGCAGAGCUAUGUGGCCCCUGCUAUACCUUUGGAAUAAAUUCCAUAGUGUCUCUGAAAAUGGUGCAGAACCUGAGCUUGCCUACAGAAGUUGCUGUAGUGGAGCGACGAGCAGCUCUCAACUCCAUUUCACUUGUUCCCUGUGCAUUGCCACCACAGGCACACUGCAGUUCCACACCAGUAUCAGCUUUUAUUGCUUUCUUUACUCCUCUGGGAAACAGAGAUCAAGAACAGCUAUGGCAAGUUAGGCAAUGUCUUCAGCCUCUAGCAUCAUUAGUGUAGUGCUUACGCGGUUGAAUUCCUACUGAACCAUGGGCAUCCACUCUUCAGAAGAGAAACCCAUAUCCCACAAGCAGGAUCAUUUUCUAUUCCCUGACCUCACAGAACGGAACAAGGAAGGCCAAGCCUGUAGUAUCAGUGUUGGUAUGAAUGCAAAAGAAAACAUUCCCUGGAGCCUCUCCCAUGCUAAGGUCUGUGCAGGUGGUGAUUAAAGUAGCUGUCACCGUGCUUGUAGCUCAGCUGCUCUUGGCUGGACGCCUGCUGUUACUGCCUGCUGCCCAUGAGUGCCUUCUUCGGGCAUCUCCACCUCUCAGUGCCCGCCAUCAACAGCUGCAGCUCUGGCAAAGUCUGAUAAACACCAGUGCGUUUCUGCCAGCUUUUCUCCAAGGAGC
ensembl:lncRNA